rnacentral:lncRNA from 1 species
GUCAGAAUUAGCCAAUAGUAUCGAAGGGUUUGUUGUUAGGCGGGAGGAACAUGCCCGCGAGCGUGCGUGAGGCCGCUACUGGGAAGGGGUGGCAGGAAGCUUGUUGAGCCAAUCGCCUUGGCGGGCGGGCAGUGGUGCGCAUGCACGCUGGAACCUGGGGCUGCGGGCGGGAGGCGGGGAAGAAUGGGGGAGGGGAGCGGGCAGGAGCGCGGCGGAGCUGCCGCCGCCGCUGCCGCCGUCGCCGCAGCCGCCGCCGCCGCAGCGAAGAGGCCAUGUUGUGUGGUGUGUGGGGAGGGGGAGGAGGAGGAGGGAGUAAAGCCGAGAGAGGAGACGGGAGAGAGACACCACACACACGGCACAAGAUGGCCGGAGAGGCAGCAGCACUGCGAGCUGUCAGGCGUUCCUCCGCGNNNNNNNNNNNNNNNNNNNNNNNNNNNNNNNNNNNNNNNNNNNNCCACGACGGGGAAAGCGCCGCUGCGGCAGCGGCUGCGGAGGCUCCUCGGGGCCCCGGCGGCUCGACCUGGUACGGGCGGGAGGCUCGGGCAGGCGGCCCGGCGCGGGACUCGGGCGUGAGUGACCAAGGGGUGCUGACCGCGGCGCUCGGACCCGGCAACUUACAAGAUUAAAAUUAAAUUUGGUUGAUGAUGGUUCUGGACAAAUACAGCUCUUUUAUUUGAGGUAUGCCAUUUUGAAGACAGACCCGUGGAAUUUUAUCCUUGAGGAUAGGGGAAAUCUUUGUGAAAGUCUGUAUUUUAUAAAGCAACAAUAUGAAUCCUGAGGCUGAAUUGUCUAAGGGGCCUGUACAGCGAAAUAGAUAGAGGUAUAAAUGGAUGGAAGGAAACUCACAUUUGAACAUUCUUCUAAUACUGCACCCUAGCUGUUGGUAAGCUCCCCAUUUUUAUAAAUAAAGUUUUAUUGGAACACAGCUAAGCUCUUUCAUUUACCUAUUAGCUGUGUCUGCUUUCUGACUACAGCUGCAGAGAGUAGAUUUAGCUAAUGGCCACAAACCCUAACAUAUUUAGUUAUUUAGUAUUUUAACCUGUAAGGAAAUCUUGCCUAUCCUUUCCCUAGAUUCAUCCUUUUUGUCAACUUUAUGUAGAACUCAAAAGCACUUGGAUUCUCUUAAUAAUGGGGGUGUACCUUUUACUUUGUUAGUAUUUCAUUGUUAGAAUUCAAAUAACAUAAGUAAUCAUGAGCUUGGCUUAAACUCCAAAGCCCAACAAAGGUUCUUUCACACCAGCAUUAUGCUUUAAUAUUAGAAGAUUUGGGGAGUUCCCGGUGUGGCACAGUGGAAAUGAAUCAACUAGUAUAGUAUCCAUGAGGAUUUGGGUUCUAUCCCCGGCCUCACUCAGUGGAUUAAGGAUUUGGAGUUGCUGUGAGCUGUGGUGUAGGCCAGCAGCUGCAGCUCUGAUUCGACCCCUAGUCUAGGAACUUCCUUAUGACACAGGUAUGGCCCCAAAAAGCAAAAAAAAAAAAAAGAAGAAGAAGAUUUGGUUACUACUGCUAUGGAAUUUCUAAUUCGCAACCUGAGAAAUAGUGGGAAAAAAGUUAGGGUUAAGAAUGUGUAAAUGAAUUUGGUUGAACUCUCAAAAGGAUUUAUUUAUUAUUGACAGAACUUUUUAGGUAUGAUAAUUAUUUAGUAGCUUUUUCAUAAAAAUAAUUUUCGAUUCACAUUUGGGAAUCUAGAUUCUAAGUGAUAAUCUUUGCUUCUAAUUACUGCAACUUCUAUUAUGUAAAAAUGGCUACUAGGGCUUGUAAAAUAGUGAAGUUUGUUUCUGUUUUCCAAUUUAGGGUGUGAGGACAGAUGAAAACUUUGCUAAUGUAAUACAAUUUAUUAACUUAAUGUCUUUUAAAGCAAUUAAUUGGCACAUUAGUGGAUGCUCAACAUACUUGUUGAUUUAUUUUAAUGGUUUCUAUUGAACAUUUAUUAACUAGUAUUUUGAGUCUAGUCUAAAAACAAUUCAUUAUUAAAAUGUGUUUGUAAUGGGUUAAAUACUAAUUUUUAUGUAUGCCUGAAAGCUAAAACUUUGACUCGGUAAAGACCUUAAAAGUGGCAAGAAACCACAACUUUCAAUCUUUUAUGCACAUGUAGUCAAGUUUUAAAAACUAAUAGGGAUAAUGGGGAAGACUUGAUUUGAUUGUAAAACCUUAAGUAAGACUCUUCUUACUUAACAUAGUUGAUCUUAUUCUUUUAGUAAACAACAGUUGGAUGGACUUUUUGUAGUUAGUUUUUAUGCCCACCUUAUUUAAUUUUAUACCCAAGACUUGUUAAUAUAUUGCAAUCCUAUUGAGCAUUCAAGCUAUUUUUGGUAAUAAGACAGUAUGUGAAUUCAUUAAAUGUUUUCAAAUUUAAAGACAGUACAAAGAAGAUUGAAAUCAUAAGUACCAAGAAGCUUAUUUACAUAAGCCGAUGAGAAUGAUCAAUUUCUGCUUCUCAUUGUAAUUUUGUAUCCAUUUGUCUUGCAUUAAAUAUUUGAGUUUUAAAAUAAUAAAAGUUACAUAAGUUAACAAACUAGCAUUUAUUAUAGAGCCUCUCACUUUAUUUUUUCAUCUUUUUAGUUUUAUUUGAAGUAUAGUUGAUUUACAAUGUUGUGAUAAUUUCUGAUGUACAACAAAGUGAUUUAGUUACACAUGUACACACAUCCCUUUUCAGGUUUUUUUCCCAUAUAGAUUAUUAUAGAAUAUUGGGUAGAGUUCCCUGUGCUAUACAGCAGGUACCCAUUUAGAGCUACUCAUUUUAAAAAUUAAGAAUCAUUAAUCUUUUUUCCUUGUAUUCCUCCCUGUCUGCCAUAUUUUUUGUUGCCAUUAAAAUGUGGGUUUGCUGGGAAGUAGAGGUAAGGAAAUUGCUUAUUUUAGGGGAACCCUUCUUAAACCCAUCCAGUAAUGAAUCACUUGUUUGCAUUUCAGCUAAUGACAUAUAGGUUUUUUUGAAAAAAUUUACUGAAUUAGAAUUUAAGAGAAGACUUUGCUCAAUUCUGCGUUUUUAAUUUCCAGAUGUACAAAAUAUUUGGGAAUUUUAAGAGGUAGUAAGUACUUAUUACGUUUUUACUAUAGGAAGCUUUUGCUUUUGUUUUUGGGUAUUAGAGUAAGAAAUUUUCCUUUAAAAAGGAAAUAUAAAGUACUGAACAUCAUCGUGGAGAAAUUCUCCUAGCUUUUUGUAAUAUGAGCUUGGAACUUGUAUGUUUGAUGAUGGAAUUCUUGAGCAAACCAUCAUCUCUUCAGUAUAUUUGCAGUAAUUCACUAAUUACUAGAGAGAGAUGGAGUAUUAGGGCUUUGAUACUAAACCCUACUCAGUUUUCUGUACUGGUCUUAUUUUAAUGUCAGAUUAAAUUCUCUUUAAAGCAGAAAGUGUUUUGUCUUUAAAUAGUUGACCCCAUGAUUCUAUAGAUUUUUCAGGGAUAUCAUAGCCACUGGAAUAUAAAUUACUUUGAUUCAUUAAGGGUAGUUUGUAGGUCCUCAGGUACUUUGGUUACUAUGGUAUAUUGGAACAAUAGCUGGCAUUUAUUGAAGUCUUCCAUUAUGCCAGGUAAUGUAAAAGCUAUAAAUGUACUAACUCCUUUAAUCCUCACUACUGCUGGCACAUGAGGUAGGUACUGUUACUUCUGUUUUACAGAUGAAGAACUGGAUUUUGUUACCAAGAAAAUUUCCAGUCCCACAGAACUCAUGCUUGUUUUCUCUUUUUUCUUAACAUAACUUUGCUGAUUUGCAAGUUUAAUUUUUGUAGAGAAAUUGGAAUUCCAUGAGAAUGACUUAUUUCUAAAUCAUUUACUGUUCAUUUAAGUGCUUUGAUACUUAAAGUAUUACUGAGCACUUUUGCUUAUUAACAGAACUGACUUCUGGCUUUUGAGUUGGCUUUAUAGAAGUGAAGGUUGAUCAUGGGUUUUCUUGGGUAGCAUUCCUUUUUUUCUUUUUUUCUUCUCUCCUCUGCCCUGCCUUUUAUACUGUUUAAAAUGGCAGUAUAUGUAUUAGCUUGACCAAUAUGCUAGUAUUUUUAAUCUCUGUUUUUAUCCCAUAAACUGGUGCAUUUUAUUAAUUUUGUUCUGAUUUUAAUAAAUAAGGCUUUGUGAAAUUUUUUGAAAAACAAGGUUUUAAAAGGAAAUGUCUUAUCGUGUCCAAGGUAAAUUUUACCUCUUGGCCUAUGGCAGAAGAAUAUAAAGCACAAAGUUUAUCAUUUAAUGUACUAGAUUGAAUAAAUUGCACCUGUAGCCAUUGAGAUGAUUAUAACUUGAUAUCGAUGCAUUAAUGUCAUUGUUCAUCAUAAUAAUAUUUAUGUUCUCAACUUCAUUUAGAGCUUGAUCCUGCAUUGUAAGAGCAGGGUUUGGGGAGAAAUUGGUUUAUAAUUAACUCUGCAAGAGACUGAUCGUAUUUUUAUUUUUAUACUUUUAUAUAGAAAUGUAUGUCCCUUAAUUUUAUGAAUGAAACGCUCAAUUAGAAGAUAAUUUACUGACAUGGAGAAUGAAUAAUUAUUUCCAGUUCUCCUUUUAGGCUGGAGAGAAAUCAGCAAAAAAUAUUAAGGAGAAAUGUCUUUUGUUUGAUGUUUAAUGAGUGGUGGUGUCUUCUUGGUUAAUCAAAUAACUAAGUAGAUUUUUGUAUUUUAUAUAUAAAAUACUUACUGUAGACUAGAAAUCCAAAUUACAGUUUGAGUCAAGGUAUUAAUUACCUCAUGAGCUCAAGAUGCCCCCCUUUUUUGGCUGCACCUGUGGCAUAUGGAGGUUCCUGGGCCAGGGACUGAAUAUGAGCUGCAGCUGUGGCAAUGCCAGAUCCUUAACACACUUCACCAGGUCAGGGAUCGAACCCAUGCAGCCAUAGAGACAACUGCCAAAUCCUUAACUCCAAAAUGACUCCAAAAUGCCCUUAUAUUUAAUACCCUUCUAAUCAGUCACCCAGACCAGCCAUACAAAUUUAGUUUGAGAGCUGCAGAAUUUAUAGAGAAGACUAGAGUUAAUACUUACUUUUAUGUUUUAUCAUGAUGAAUCAGAACUAUUUAUUUAAUAGUAAAAUCUCCUGGCUUCCCUUAAUCCCUUUAUUUCAAAUUAUUUAAGUAGUGGGUUUUUUUGUUUUUUUUUUUUAAUGGGGGAACAUUUGAUGUUUUCUCAAUGGAAAUAUUUUUUUAUUUAAUUUGCAAUUUGAUAGCAUUUCAUGGCAAAUACCAAAUAAGCUGGGCAGAUAUUUUGCAUUUUUGAUGGUUUCGUAUUCUAGUAGCUACAUGUCUCCUGCAUUCUCAUAUAUAGCUAAAGAUGAUGUUUUUUUCUUUUUUCUUUUUUUUAAUCCUAAGAUUCUUUUCCAUAAUUAGUUUUAUUUGAAGAAGCUUGGGAAGUUUUUUGCACUGAGAUUUAGCAUCCAUAGUGUUGGUGUAAUUUAGCUUUCUAGGAUUUUUGAAUUUGAAUUUUUGUUUUUAUUUCUCAUAUAGUCUAGCAAUAUUACAUUUAACUAUUAAAAAUUUGACUCUUCACUGCCACAUUUUUAUGGUUACAUAUGUAUCUGUGACAGUAGAAGGACUUUGUUACUAGUGUGCAGUUUUCCCAUGUCUCUCAUUGAUAAGUUUGUACAGCACAUACAACUUUAUACAGUUUUAUAAUUUAAAGCUGUUACAAAAUUGUUAAAGCUUUGUAUGGUUAGAGUAUCUUCAAGGUGGGUGGAUGUUCUCUGUUUAAAGGAAUAAGAUUAUUGCUAUUCCAACAGCAUUUUUUCUUUUAAUGUUUUCAUCAAGCACCCAGUCAGCUUGAAGAGUCUCAAAUGGACCCUACAACUGAGAAAUCAAGAUGGCAGUCCACUAUGGGAAAUGAGAAAAAUGGACUAAUGCAAGAGUGCUGUGAUAAUAACAACCAAGACAGGGUUCUUUUAACAUGGAUUUCAUGAAUGAAGAUAUAGGUUUCUUAACCAACACAAUGGACAGUGGAUUUGACUUUGGAAAGACUUUUUGUAUCAUAAAAACAAGAACAUUUUUGACAUUUGGAGAAGAAAGAUGACACAUUAACAGAUGAUAGUUUGUAUGUCUGGAAUUUUUUGGUUUGAUUUGUAUGAGAAUGACCUUGUGGAAUGUUAACUUUAAUAAAAUUUCUAACAGU